AGUGGGGCCCAGGCCUGUGGUAAAGUGCCCGGAGGGUAGCCGAUCCUGAGGCACCAUCAGCUGGAUAAGCGCAGCCUUUGUGGUGGUGGUUGCCUGUUUAUGUUAAGGACUCCUUGUACUGCAGGAGGUUUCUGUAAUUGGCUGCUCCACUUAGAUUAGAUGUGUUUUGGAUCCUGCUACACCUCCCACUUUUUGUAUCUUGCCUAAAGUCUGUUGUUUUGAACUCAGUGCCAGGAAGACUAGUUACAAAGGUACCCAGUGGAGCCUCAAAGAUGGCUCUGAGAUGUGAAUAUCAUUGCAGAAUUACAUCAAGGUCACUUGUAUUUAUUUUUUCCUAAAUAGUUUCUUGACUUUAAAAUGCCUUUGGAAUUUCCAGCUCAAAAUUCUAAUUCCUUUCAGUGAGCUCAGUCUCUAUGCAAAACUUGCUUCCCGCCUGCCAAAUUGAAAGCAUCUGGAUAGAAUACUGAAUUUAGGUCAUUUUUUUCCCAGUGUGUCCUUCUUAGGAAGAAAGGAAAUCAAAUCCAAUAACAUCACACAGAGAAGAGGGUAAAAUAGUUCCAACAAGAGCUUUUUGUUUUGACCGUUGGUUGGAAUUAAAUGUGUGGCACCUCCUCUCUUCCCUGUCUCUGCCUCUCCUACCACCAGAUCUCAGUGGUUGAUUGGAAUUUUUAAAGACCUAGAGCCUUUUACUUUCCAUUAUCUCUGUAGCACCAUUCUCUGCUAAGGGGGAAGACUAGAGUAUUCCUAGUUAAUUCUUGAGGUUAAUCAAGGCGGACUUCCACGUCUUCCCAGUGGAGGAUCUGGGCAAGGUAUAGACAGGGCUCCUCAGACUUGAAAGUGCAUAGGAAUCCUCGGAGGGUCUUGUUAACGUGCAGAUUUUAAUAAGUCAGCCUGAGGUGGGGCUUGAACUUCUGCAUUUCUAAAAAGCUCCUAGCUGGUGUGAAGAGCUGCUAGUUGGUAAACCACAUGCAGAGGGACAAGGAGUGGCCCACCUCGGGGGGAUCUAGCUUCAAGCUCACUUUCUUGGCCCAGUCUCUCUCCUGUCACCUGGCCAUUUCUGGGCUUGAUGUGUUGAUCGGGAGAGCGUC